GGAAAAGCAGAACGAUGGAGUCACUUCUGGCAUGAUGGAGUGAGCAGCAGGACAUGGGCACCCAAGACAUCACAUCCUCAGGAGUGGGACUUGUCUGUCAGUUUCCCCCCCAGCAGCAGGAGAGAGGAAUUGCGCUGCCGGUGCUAUUGCUCUCAUUUCUUUCCAUUCACCUGGUUAAAUUCCGACACCGUGCCGGAUCCCGGGAUGCGCUUUGUUCUCUAAAAAUC